rnacentral:rRNA from 1 species
UGGGGAAUUUUGGACAAUGGGCGAAAGCCUGAUCCAGCAAUGCCGCGUGUGUGAAGAAGGCCUUCGGGUUGUAAAGCACUUUUGUCCGGAAAGAAAUCCUUGGCUCUAAUACAGUCGGGGGAUGACGGUACCGGAAGAAUAAGCACCGGCUAACUACGUGCCAGCAGCCGCGGUAAUACGUAGGGUGCAAGCGUUAAUCGGAAUUACUGGGCGUAAAGCGUGCGCAGGCGGUUUGCUAAGACCGAUGUGAAAUCCCCGGGCUCAACCUGGGAACUGCAUUGGUGACUGGCAGGCUAGAGUAUGGCAGAGGGGGGUAGAAUUCCACGUGUAGCAGUGAAAUGCGUAGAGAUGUGGAGGAAUACCGAUGGCGAAGGCAGCCCCCUGGGCCAAUACUGACGCUCAUGCACGAAAGCGUGGGGAGCAAACAGGAUUAGAUACCCUGGUAGUCCACGCCCUAAACGAUGUCAACUAGUUGUUGGGGAUUCAUUUCCUUAGUAACGUAGCUAACGCGUGAAGUUGACCGCC